CUUGAACGCUGGCGGCAGGCCUAACACAUGCAAGUCGAACGGUAACAGGAAUCAGCUUGCUGAUUUGCUGACGAGUGGCGGACGGGUGAGUAAUGCCUGGGAAACUGCCUGAUGGAGGGGGAUAACUACUGGAAACGGUAGCUAAUACCGCAUAACGUCGCAAGACCAAAGAGGGGGACCUUCGGGCCUCUUGCCAUCGGAUGUGCCCAGAUGGGAUUAGCUAGUAGGUGGGGUAACGGCUCACCUAGGCGACGAUCCCUAGCUGGUCUGAGAGGAUGACCAGCCACACUGGAACUGAGACACGGUCCAGACUCCUACGGGAGGCAGCAGUGGGGAAUAUUGCACAAUGGGCGCAAGCCUGAUGCAGCCAUGCCGCGUGUAUGAAGAAGGCCUUCGGGUUGUAAAGUACUUUCAGCGGGGAGGAAGGGAGUAAAGUUAAUACCUUUGCUCAUUGACGUUACCCGCAGAAGAAGCACCGGCUAACUCCGUGCCAGCCGCCGCAGUAAUAC
rnacentral:rRNA from 1 species